rnacentral:lncRNA from 1 species
AAGAACAAACCUAUAAAAUUGAAACAAACAAAAAACGAAACCCCUACCACUCACUCACUUACCUCACACACGCCAAACGCCUCACCACUCCCUCACCACACACCUCACCACGGCCAGCAACGGGGACGGCUGAAGGAGUUCCUAGGCAACGAUCAACGACGGCACAAGGACGGGCUGAUCUCCACCGUCGGCAAUGAUCAACGAAGGCAGAAGGACGGGCUGAUCUUCUUCGUUGACAAUGAUCAACGGCGGCACAAUCACAGCGCCCUCAGCCCCUUCAGGAAUACAUGCAACAGUUUAUAAAAUUUUGUUUCCCGUAAGUACUGUGAUGGGUUUUGUUUGGUUUGUGAGAAAAGUGAGGAAAUUUUAAGAAAAUAAUGUUUUUUGUUUUUAGGGUUUCGAGACUCCUUUUUUUUGGACAAAAAAAGGAGUCAAUGAUUUGGCUUUUAUUUGCAGUGAAUUUGGUGUGUGUUGUUAAUUUUGUGGCGCAUAGGUUGUUGUGGCAUAUGCAGUUAGGCAUGUGGCUGCUGCAGUGAGUAUGGCCAAGGUUGCAAUUUCAGUGUUUUGGUUUCAACGUUUCUUCUGGAUCAGACAUUUCUUUUGCCAAUUUAUAUGUCCCUUGUUCCAAUGAUUUUGGUUGUGCUCUUACUGCGGUGACCAAGCUAAAGUUAAACAUGACUGGUAAUCAGAAUUUUCCUUUAUUUCUGGAAACUGAAACAGCAGUGUAUAUGAUAUAUUCACUUGUUAUCUAGUAAACUUGGUAUCAAUGAUUCUUGUAUAAUUCUUUGUUCCUUGCUUUCAAUUAGAGAUGUGAACUAAAUUAUUAAUUUGGGAAUCAUUUAUCGUUUUUUCCCCUUUUUAUUUGAUUCUUUAGUUUUGUUUGUUGGUUUCCACAAAACCUUUUUAUUUCCUCAAUUUUGCCAUCUUUCUUUGCAUGAGCUGCAUAUGAUGAUUUGAGUAAAAUUAUAAUAACAUUUUUUAAUGGGAACUUUUUAUUGUUUAUAAGUAAUAUGUAUAUGGGAAUGGGAACUAAGAAUAGUGUGUUUAAAGUCCUGAACUGUUUUUGCCAUUUUGAUUUUGAUGUAAAGUAAUUUUCAUAGUUUCAAGGGAAUAGAUUUAGGUUAAUAUUGAUUGUAACUAGAUAAGUCCUUUUAUGUAAUAAGUUUGAAGGAUUGGUUUUGUAAAUUCAAUGUAAUGGCUUAAAAAAGGCUAUUAAAUUGGCUUAGGUUGCCACGAGCUAUAACUAAAUCAGAAACAUAAUACAUUUUACUUCUACAAAAUUAGUUCAUUCUUGGUAUGGAGGAUUAAAAUUUGUACAAUGAUAAAUAAAAGCAAUGUUGUCCUUAUCUAAUACACGCUUUGAUCUAGAAAUAGCAUAUUACAACAUGCAUGUUAACUCUUCGAUAAAAUGCCUAUUAAAAUUCUCAGACCUAUUUCAAGCUCAAGUAUUGCAUGUCCCUUAAGAUAAUGACAUUUUCAUUGUUUUAUAUUGCAGAUUUGAGAUUUUUUGGGUGCCUAUAUAACAAGUUAACAAUGGCGGCUUAAUAGUUUAAAAGGGAAGGUAAUCUCUCUUCAUAUCUUCUCGAGGAUUCUUCUUUAUGUAUUUCAAUUAUGUCUUACAUAUGUAUUAAAUAGAGGUUUUGAUUAAAAGCUUUUUGUUUUCAAAAUUAAAUUUCUUAUUAAGGGGUUGAUUUUUAGCUAAAUUGUGAUUGCUUGCUGAGAAAUUGGAUUGUGUCAUGAGAUUUUGUACUCUAUUGGUUUAUUUUUUCUGCUGUACGGCCAAGGCGGAUGUACGGUACAGCAGAUAGAGUGGAUCCAAUGGCUGAGAUUUGUUUAAUUAUUAAAUGAUUAAAAAAAUUUGAAAGAACAAACCUAUAAAAUUGAAAUAAACAAAAAAAAAAACCCCACCACUCAUUCACUUACCUCACACACGCCAAACGCCUCACCACUCCCUCACCACACGCCUCACCACGGCCAUCAACGGCGACGGCUGAAGGAGUUCCUAGGCAACGAUCAACGGCGGCACAAGGACGGGCUGAUCUCCACCGUCGGCAACGAUCAACGAAGGCAGAAGGACGGGCUGAUCUUAAUGCCAUGUACUGAAAUGAUGUAAAGCAUGAGCUUCAAGGUUUACUCUAUUUUUUUAAUUUUUAAUUGCUUAUUUACUAAUUGCAUAAUGUGUUUUCAAAUGAGCUUAUGUUUAUUAGAAAAAAAAGGGCCAGAUUGUUUUUGUGUAUAAAUGUGAAGUGAUGCCCAAAUUUUGGAAUAAGUUUGUGAAGAAUCUGGAGUUGAGAGUUAAAGACAAGUGGAUAAAAAAUGAUGUCUUGAAGAGGUCACUUAGUGUUUUUGUUAUAGUGACUUAAUCUUUGAGUUGUUUUAUUGCAAAUACUGAAUACUAGAGUUCUUGGAGCGAUUAUGAUGAUGCAAGCAUCUAUUAGAUGGUUGAACAUUCUUUGGUCAAUAUAAAUUCACUUUAGCAUGACUUAAGGCUAAAAGAAAGGAUAAAAAAUUGGCGAUUAUGAUGAUUUAAGUAUCUAAUAAACAGUUGAAUACAAUCAUUAAAUGGAAAAUUGCUAUGUUUUCUCCAGG